AGUAUUAGGAUUUGAAGUUAGAGUUUUUUGCAAAAUUCGAUAGAACAACAUUUCAGCGCGAUUUUCCACAAGAGAAUUAGGGUGGUCAGCGGAUUCGGCAAGAGUAAAUAGGACAAUAAAAGAAUGGAACAAGCUGCCCGCCUCACCCUGGAUUCCACUAGUGCAGAUAUUUUUAGAGAACGAAUAAAAUAAAAUUAAAUUAAUAAAAUUAUAUUAAUAC